UACAGAGGUCUCAAGCGUUGUUCGGAUUCAUUGGGCGUAAAGGGUGCGUAGGCGGCGCGGUAAGUCGGAUGUGAAAUCUCGGAGCUUAACUUCGAAACUGCAUUCGAUACUGCCGUGCUUGAGGACUGGAGAGGAGACUGGAAUUUACGGUGUAGCGGUGAAAUGCGUAGAUAUCGUAAGGAAGACCAGUGGCGAAGGCGGGUCUCUGGACCACUACUGACGCUGAGAAGCGAAAGCAUGGGGAGCGAACAGG
rnacentral:rRNA from 1 species